UGUCAAAGUGAAGAAAUUCAA
rnacentral:snRNA from 1 species